GAUGAACGCUGGCGGCGUGCCUAAUACAUGCAAGUCGAGCGAACGGACGAGAAGCUUGCUUCUCUGAUGUUAGCGGCGGACGGGUGAGUAACACGUGGAUAACCUACCUAUAAGACUGGGAUAACUUCGGGAAACCGGAGCUAAUACCGGAUAAUAUUUUGAACCGCAUGGUUCAAAAGUGAAAGACGGUCUUGCUGUCACUUAUAGAUGGAUCCGCGCUGCAUUAGCUAGUUGGUAAGGUAACGGCUUACCAAGGCAACGAUGCAUAGCCGACCUGAGAGGGUGAUCGGCCACACUGGAACUGAGACACGGUCCAGACUCCUACGGGAGGCAGCAGUAGGGAAUCUUCCGCAAUGGGCGAAAGCCUGACGGAGCAACGCCGCGUGAGUGAUGAAGGUCUUCGGAUCGUAAAACUCUGUUAUUAGGGAAGAACAUAUGUGUAAGUAACUGUGCACAUCUUGACGGUACCUAAUCAGAAAGCCACGGCUAACUACGUGCCAGCAGCCGCGGUAAUACGUAGGUGGCAAGCGUUAUCCGGAAUUAUUGGGCGUAAAGCGCGCGUAGGCGGUUUUUUAAGUCUGAUGUGAAAGCCCACGGCUCAACCGUGGAGGGUCAUUGGAAACUGGAAAACUUGAGUGCAGAAGAGGAAAGUGGAAUUCCAUGUGUAGCGGUGAAAUGCGCAGAGAUAUGGAGGAACACCAGUGGCGAAGGCGACUUUCUGGUCUGUAACUGACGCUGAUGUGCGAAAGCGUGGGGAUCAAACAGGAUUAGAUACCCUGGUAGUCCACGCCGUAAACGAUGAGUGCUAAGUGUUAGGGGGUUUCCGCCCCUUAGUGCUGCAGCUAACGCAUUAAGCACUCCGCCUGGGGAGUACGACCGCAAGGUUGAAACUCAAAGGAAUUGACGGGGACCCGCACAAGCGGUGGAGCAUGUGGUUUAAUUCGAAGCAACGCGAAGAACCUUACCAAAUCUUGACAUCCUCUGACAACUCUAGAGAUAGAGCUUUCCCCUUCGGGGGACAAAGUGACAGGUGGUGCAUGGUUGUCGUCAGCUCGUGUCGUGAGAUGUUGGGUUAAGUCCCGCAACGAGCGCAACCCUUAAGCUUAGUUGCCAUCAUUAAGUUGGGCACUCUAAGUUGACUGCCGGUGACAAACCGGAGGAAGGUGGGGAUGACGUCAAAUCAUCAUGCCCCUUAUGAUUUGGGCUACACACGUGCUACAAUGGACAAUACAAAGGGCAGCGAAACCGCGAGGUCAAGCAAAUCCCAUAAAGUUGUUCUCAGUUCGGAUUGUAGUCUGCAACUCGACUACAUGAAGCUGGAAUCGCUAGUAAUCGUAGAUCAGCAUGCUACGGUGAAUACGCUCCCGGGUCU
rnacentral:rRNA from 1 species